CACGUUCUUACCACGAUUAUACUACGUUCAUACCGCGAUCUUACUACGUUCUCAGCAAUAACGUUAACAUCGUGUUCCAUAUCAAUACAGUUCAAUUCCUUCUAUUUCUGAUUAAAUCGUAGAUUUCUCGGAAAAAAUACAGUCAUGCCACCAAAAUCUACCAGAACACGUGGGCAUGGUGGUAGGAGUUGAUGUAGAGGCAGAGGGAGCAAAGUAACGAAUCCUGAUCAAGCAGGGAUGUCGGACCGACCAAUCCAACCUAAAUUACAACCUAUUGCUGGUCCAUAAAGCUCAAUGACGAUAUUUUAGUGAACGAUAGCAGAGAUGACAUAGAUGUAUCAAUAUAUAUAGGAAGAUGUGGUAUUAGUGCCAAUGAGACAACUCUCCAUCCAAGUAACAAUUUAUAAAAGUAAACCAUUAUAGGCCAAGGUACGGCCUUCAACACGGAGCCUUGGCUCACAUCAAUCAGCACGCUAUAAAGGACCCACAAUAUUACUAGUGUUAAACCAUUUAAACGGGAUAACCAACGGUCUAAUCUAUAUAAAAACGAGAAGCAUGGUUGAGCCGUUAGAGCAAAUGGAUAAUUACAUUCAAACAAACAAAAUCUAGGGAGCUUUUUAUAUAUUUUAUGUGAAAAUGACAAUGAGAAUGAUGGUCGUAGUGUGAACGUAGUCAGGUCGUAAGAAGAGCGUGAUGAGGACGGCAAGGGCG
rnacentral:lncRNA from 1 species